AACAAAGCAGUACUCCCGAAAGACAGAAGUACCAGCUUAUAAGCCUUACCAGUCUUACAAGCCUAGCCAGUCUUAUAAGCCUUACCAGUCUUACAAGCCUAACCAGUCUUACAAGCCUAACCAGACUUACAAGCCUUACCAGUCUUACAAGCCUUACAAGCCUAACUCACGUUGGAACUCAUAUGGAAAAUAAAUAACGAUUUCAAGAUUAAAGAUUAAUGAAGUUUUAGUUCAUUAUAGUGC